ensembl:lncRNA
UGGACACAACACAUCGAUCAAUGCACCUGAAAAAAGUCAGCAAAUAAACUCUGACCGUCUUUCUUCUCGCUCGACUCCGCGCUGAAUCCUUCGCAGCUUCCGCCCGCAUUGAGUGUUCCGGCUAAACCUGAAGCUCCUGCGUCCCGUCUCACAAUACGUCUCACAGGGAGCUGGAAAACAAUUAAAUGAGUGUGGUAUGAAUACAAAAUCAAAAAAAAUCAAAAUCAAGUCACAGUAACAUUUAACAAGGAAGGAGAAACAGUAAACAGUGUCACUUACACACAAUGACGUCGUCUAAAUCUGGACUUUUCCCGGAGCAAAUACGAGGUCACCGCCUCAUUAUGAGGCGAGAUUAGUCUGUGAAAACAAAAUGUACAGUUAUGAUCGGUAUCUAUACGUAUAUAUUCCCUUAUACCGCAGAAUGAAAGCAUAUUCUUUAAAUCUGACCCUUGCUACGGUUCGUAGCGCCUGUAAUUCGUCUCGGAGUUGUGAAGACGGCGCACCGCUUCCUGUAAACGACACGGCAAAGAAAACACACUUUAAUAAAGCUGUUUCUGCUCACUUGUAAGGCUACUCUUAGCUUAGCUUGAGGCUACGCUACGUUUAGCUUAGCUUGCAGUCAUCGAACGUAUUCUUACCGCUAUCUUGGGAUUAUGCUCCCGUCUCCUCUUCUUUGAGUCGGUUCCUCUCCUCCAUGGACAGAAACCCGCAGAGUCCCGAACGCUCCAGUGGAGCGAACCGCUCGUUGAUAUCGGCAGUUUGUUGUUGGAAAUGACGAGACGAUCCACUGAGAGCUUUCAGCAGCUUCUUCUCGUCUGUCUGCGGACUGGCCGAAAGUUGGUGACCGCGGAGAGGAGUUGAAGGCGAGUUGAACGCGAGACGUCGUCCCGCCAUUAUUCACGAAGCAGCAAAAACCAAACAAAGGAACUGGAGAUACAGUUCUUCUGAAUAUAGUAACACACGUGUCUGUUUGUAUGCUCGUCUUGCAAGUACUGCUGUCUGAGUCAUGCCUAUGACCUCACACGUGAUUGGACGAGGAGUCUAAGGGUCCUCCAAUCACAUACGAGGUUAUUGUUAUACGGAAGGACCAGUAUUUUAGGAAGACAAUUGGUUGGGACUUUGUCGUGCAAUGAAACAGCUGAUAUGCUUUAUGUAAAGCAGUGUUUUGGUGUCAGCAGAACGACUUUCCCUAGAAAACUGUACAGUGGUGCCUCUUUCUCCAUUCCACCAGACAAUCUUGAGUCUGACAGACAUGCAAUGUUGACAAUGUAUCAUCAGAUGUACCCUUGUGUCACUGAGGUUGAAUGUUUUGCCAUGACAUGUAAACGGGUAACAUAUAUGAAUGUAACUUACUCAAUCGAUAGAUGCAGAGCAUAAAGGCCAGCGUAUAUUUAUGCUAAGUGGUGUGGAAACACUAACAGUUUUGAGGAGCCCGUCCUUGACCCUCUAGCAGAACUACGACCAGCCAUUAUAAAGCAGUUUAUAGUUGUUAAUGUUGUGUCAAAGGGUACGGCAUUUAAACAUGUUCUUGCACAAGUUUCCUGGCUUCAUCCCCACCCGGACAGACAUUUUUAUGGAAAGCCAAUAGAAGUUUGGGGCUUGCAGGGAACAGAUACGUCAUACCCAGCAUCAUUUCUGCCAGUUGAGCGCAUUGCUAGAAGAUGUGUGGUUAAUACAUCCUCUGUGCAUUUAAGUAAGACCAAAGAAAAGGUCACUGUAGUCCUGCCACUAUGCACUGUAGUUGAGCUCUAGGAGACUGUGAUCUCUGCAGACCCCUCAUUCUGAUUCAAAUGUUGUUUGCAUGAAAUGCUCAUUAUACCUUGAUUAAAACUCAUCUUUUAAAGAAGUUAUUUUGUGUAUCUUUUUUACAUAACAUUUGCCAUUGCUAAUGGCGUACACAGUAAUCUAGCAUAUUUGAAUUAAAUAAAUCAAUUCAAGCUCAAAUGUAAGAGUCUAUAAUUAGGCUACUGAGCCUGAUCUAUUUGUACCAGAGAUUUUCUUACCUUUUAAAAAAAUGUCACCUGGGCUAAAACUCCCUCUGCGACCCUGAUUUGCCUUUGUAUAGCUCACAGCAUUUUCAUUUACAUGUCAAAGCCUCCCCUAGAAUUAGGAGGAGGGGGGACAUGGGGGGACAACUGCCAAGGGAGGCACACAUCAAUUUCUGACAAUUUACAGUGCCGCAUACUGCCGAAAAUCCCACUUUUCAUGCAGUGAGGCGGUCCACUCCCCGCAUCUACUGGGACAAAACGGCCCUCUGCCCUGUGUUUGAUGCAUCUGCAGAGUAAAUGGAAGAGAGUUAGUUAGGUGUUUGGAAGAGGUGCAGUCUUGUCCACCUAAGUGCGCAUCUGCCAGCUACCCCAGUGGUACCCCACAUACCGUACCUCGAUCCGUCUAACUGUGACAUGGGUUGGCGGUGAGCCGUGUCUGCCUUAAGGACUCCACCAUUGCACCCACCUGCUGCACAUGCUCCGCCCAGGUGCUGCUGUGGAUGAUCCCUCCGCCAAGUAGACGGCCGCAUUAGCAGUGUGUGGACGCGGCAUUCUGUCCAAGAGGCGUUGGAAAGUAGCUGGAGCACGGAAACAACCCAAAAGGAACAGUGGUGAAUUCGUAUAGAAAGCACGGAAUGGAGAAGGUCAUUUACGUAACUUUGAUGAAAGAGGAAUAUGCCAGUAGCCCUUGGUUGAAUCCAGUGUCGUAAAGAAACGUGCAGUGCCUAGUGUCACGGUUUGGGUUUGUUUCCGGUCUUAUUUUGUUGUUUUCUGCCUCUUGUGUCCCUGGGUAACUUCACUUCCUGCCUUGUCCUAUCAUCCCCUGUGAUUGUCUAAUUGCUUCCACCUGUGUCCAAUCACCUGCACCUCCCUAGUAUAUAUAAGCUAUGUGUGUCUCUUGUCACUUGUGGCGUCAUUGUUCAUUGUUGAAUGUCCGGAAGUCCAUAUCUGAGGGUUCCUGUCUACGUUUUUUACCCUUGGCCUUUUGAUUUAGAAGUUUGACUAUUAAAGUCUUGUUUCUGGAAACUCUGCGUUUGAGUCCUGUCUUCCCCGCCUUCCUGACACCUAGUCGGUCCAGGAGAUCAUCAACCCGGAGCAUUAGAUACGCAUCAAAUCCUGACACAUCAUUCACCCUGCGAUUGUCCACACAAAACCCAAUAGAUCCACCCUUCUUAACAACAAGAAUAAUGGGGCUAUACCAAGCACUUUUUGACUCUAUUACCCCAUCUCCAGCACAGCAGCCAACUUGUACUAUACACUUGGAAAAGUCUCAAUUUAGUGCUCUAUGUUGUUUGUGCGUCUCGCCAGGGGGGGAAAAUGUCCGGACAUUGUUCUUCGAGGCAUCUUCGGUUCUCUGGGCUCCGGAGAGAUGGGCUUCACAAAGGGGCAAGGUCAAUCCAAUUGAUUAAUUUGAAACCUCGGGCCCCAGCACCGCUCUUGAGGUUGAGAUGCGUAGCCCAGCCCCUGUCCCAACGCAUAGUUGACGUCUCCCAAACACCGUGUGACAAACAAAGGGCCCUUGCCACUUGGCGAAGAGUUAAAAACUGGAAGAAGGACGGAAAAGAAGUUUUCUUCAGUUGUGAAUUGUCUCAGCCUGAACCCUCUUCUAAACAUUGCAUGGCGUUUUGCUUCCAGGUCUAAGACGUUUUCUUUAUCAGGUUGAGCACCCCUGUCAUUUCCUGCCAAACAACAGAUCAAAAGAAAAUAUUCUGUGGACGCCUAGGGAACCUCCCCCACUGCAAACAACAGAGGAUUAAGCCAUUUAUCCGAAUUACGUUCCUCCUUGUGAAUAUACUUACCGAUCAUGGACUUCAAAGUCUUAUUUGAUGAUACACACUGGUGCGAAUAGAUUUGCUUCCCAGUGACCCGUAAAGUUUCCUCAGUGUACGUGACUUGAACGAGGUGCAUUGGUCAGUCAGAAUUUUUUUAAGGAUCCCAACUCGGGAGAUGACCUGAAACAGAGCUUGUGCGACACUCUUUGUAAAAGUGUUGCGCAAUGGCACUGCCUCUGUGUUGCGUGAUCCAGAAGAACACAAAACAAUAUCCGUGUGAAUUCCAAUGAAAUGGCCCGAUGAAGUCCAUGUUGAUUUCCUCCAUUAAUGAAAGAGGACGCAAAGGCGCCCUCAGUAUGGCCAGGUGUUUUACCUUUUGACACAAUUAGCAGGAUGCGUACCAGCAGCGUACAUACCCCCCGAUAUUUGGCCAAUAAAAUCAGGGCUUUAUACGGUCAAGUGUUUUUCCAUGUCCUAUGUUGCCAGCUAUCGGGUUAUAGGGAGCCGCUGGAAAAAUACUUUCCCGUUGGCUCCAACAACGGGGUGUUUUCCUAACAUGUUUAUCCUGAGUGUUAUGACUCACUCGUUAUAGCCUGUCCCUAAUCACUGAAAAGUGUGGAUACGACUGUGCUGCGCCAGGACGCACCAACCAACCAUGGAUUUGAAUCACUUGGUCAAAGGCAGAGUACAAUGUAAUGUAGAGUCAGUGGAGUGAAUCAGUGGAGUGUAAUUUGCUCGUUUCCCCUCUUCGUCUGCAGUGUCUGACCACAUUGUGUCACAGCUAUAGAUCACCUGCGGCACCGACAUCAGCGGGUGUCUGGGCUUCCCGCACCUCCAUCAACAAACAUCCGGGCUGCCCACACAGCCAACUUGCCCUGUUGGUUAAGAGGGUCCCCCUCCCAACUCACAGGGAGUUGGGAGGGGGACCGGUGGAUUGCGGGCCUGGGGGAAGGGUGACAGCUGUGGGGCUGGUAUAAGCCAUGGUAGAGGCUACUGCUGUAUACCUCACCGCGCAUCCGGCUAUUGGCCUCUGCCAGGCUAAUGGAUGCCUCCAGAGUUGUCGGGCAAUGGUACCGCACCCACCCCAAUGUUCGGGCUGGGAGGCUCUCCCCCACUUUGUCCCCUCUGCAGCUGAACUAAAACACACCCCAGGCAUAAACAGACCUAUAUUUUUUUUUUGUUGUCAGAAACGCACCAUGGAAGUUGGCAGCGCAUUCCCUAGGAACACGGAUCCUCAAGGUCAUUCAACUGGUGUCAAGGGAAACUUCCAUGGAGGUGUGGUCAAAACCUUCAGAAUUCUGGGAUCCACAAUCUGCCGGGACCUGAAAUGGGCCUCUAACAACAACCCCAUCGGGAAGAAGCACCACCAGAAUUUCUGUUCUACUCAGUCAUCAUCCAGUCUCUUUUCUUUAGGACAGGAACAGACUACAACACAUCAAAAGGUCUGCAGAGAGAAUCAUUGGCUUCAGCUUGCCUUCUUUCCCGGGCUUGUACACCUCCUAGAGUCAGGGAACAGCAUAAAAAAUCAGUGCAGACCCUUCACACAUUGGACACAACCUUUUCCAUCUCCUUCCCUCUGCUAGGUGCUAGAGAGCACUGUGCGCCAAAACCAACCAACCACCAGACACAGGAACAGCCUCAUCCAGCAUGCCGUCUUCAUGAGGAACAUCUAACCAGUCAGACAGCAUCCCCACCAUUUGCACUAUACUUUGCACCUCAAUUGUUGUCUUUGUUGUACAGUUGAUUGUUCUUAUGUGUCUGUGUGUGUAUAUGUAUAUUGUAUAAUUAUUGAAUGUUUAUACCUACAUCUGCUUUUUUUGUUAGUAUUAUCUUUUUUUUCUAAAUUUCUUGUAAAUUUACAUUGAGACCAAAGAGUAACCAGAUUCAAAUUCCAUGUAUGCACACGCAUCUAGUCUCUAUUCGUCCAUCAUUGUGUGUAUGCAUACAUAGCCAAUACAGCUGAUUGAUUCUGAUUCUGAAAAGCCUGUGGGCCUUAAUGACAUCUCAUUAAAGAAACAAACAAAGAAAGAGAGAGAGAUUAACACUGUCUUGUUAGCUUUGCCAUCACUAUGAGUCUAAUGACCACAUCCGCAUUGUUCUUGUGAUUAGGCCUCGUUUGAGAGGGUGAGGAAGAGAGUGGGGGAGAGAGAGAAAGGGACCGAAAGUUUUGGAACUUGACAAAGAGAAAGAAGUUACAGAGAAUGGGUGGGAAGUGUUUGAAGGACCAGACCGAAUACAUCAUUUAUCACAAUUAUAGAGAAGAAUUACGUUGCACACUCUUUCAGACAAGCAAGCACACACGCACACACACACAAUUUGAUCCAAGCACGGAGCCAGUUAGCUUCUCGGCCAGCUUAACUGUGAAAUGCUAAAGAGGCACAAUGUGUGUGCUCGUGCUCCAAAAGCUUUUUAGCUGUUUAGGAGUUGUAAGCGGAAACUCCGAUGAUACUUUACGUGCAUAAUGCGAGCAUUGUCAACUAGAAGGCAUUUGGGGUUGUGUUUGUUUGUUUAGGGUUAAACGAUAUAUAUUUGAUAACUUCUUGUUUUCUUAAGAAAAUUAACUAAUUACUUGCAAAUCAUUUUGAAAUUCAUUAAUCUUGAUUAAUGACAAUUAAUGAAUGUUGUUUUGAAUGAAUGUUUGUUUUUCUUCUGAAGACUAAAUGUUAAAAAUAAUGAGUAAUCACUUUAAACGUUGUUUGAUUGUUGAUGUUAUUUUAAACACAAAACUACACACAUUUGAUCAUCUCUGAGGCAGAAUUCCACCCGGUGGAACAUGUUGAACAAGCGACUCCUGCUGUCCUCGUGCACUUUGCUUUCAACUCUCCACAAUUUGACUCCUGUGUUUUGAAGUGCCAACAAUCUCCCCACAUUUAGCCGGGACGUUUCCAAACCACGGUAUUUUAGGGACACAGUGGUGGUCCUCUGCAGACUUCAGAUGUUGGGAUGGAAGUAGCCUAGCUGCUAGCGUAGCAUAGCACCUAGCUUAGCAUAACGGUGCUUAAAGUGGUCCAUUUGCCACUCACCCACCUUCUGUUUGACACGUGGAGUAAUUCCUCUGCAUAGUUCUCGCUGUAUGUCGCGCCUCUGUUAGUUUGUUUUACUUCCAAUGCAAAAAGCUUUCUCCAUUUGAUGUAACUGACUGCUGUUUCGUUUCGGCGGUCAACUUCUACUUCCAGUUUACUUCCGGGAAGUAAACAAAACGAACGUUAACUACGUUAAAAUAUUUUGUUGCAAUAAUCUAGGCCACAUUAAUUGCAUAGAAUAAUACAUUAUUGUUGACAGCCCUACUGUUUAUUUCCUCUUUUAGUGGACUAGUGCUGAUGAAACCUUACAUUGUUUUUUUCUCUAUUAUUGUCUGCAACAACAAGGAGCUGUUUGUGAACGUCAAAAAGGCCCGUAUUGCCUUAAGGUAUGGUAAAAAACUUGUCAGGCUAUUUGUAAGAUUACUAUUGGGAUAAACAUUAAUUAGACACUUUAGCAAUAAGUUUCUGCUGCUGGGCCAAUGUUGAACUGUCAACUAUUUUACUAAUGACAUUUAGGAGGCAUGGCAGUUCUGGCAGAGGAUGGUAGAAGGACUGCUGUUUGUUCAUACGGGAAGCAGUUUAGAAUGAUUCAGCAUUAAAAUAUCUAACCUCCAUUAAAUUUUUAAAAAGGCUUGAUAUUAAGCCAACUUUCAUGAAUUUUGAUUUCAUUCAUGUUGGUUGUGCACCAAAUAGCUUUUGGCCUGUAAGACAAUAGUUGUUCCAUUGUUGUGUUGGAAACCAAAUAAAAAGUGUUCACAACGUCAUAAUAUAAUGCAGGAGUCCAGAACCUUUUUUGCCUCACAAAAUGAAGUCAAUUAAAAAAAUAUACAUAUAUUUCUCUGCGGCCCAGUGGUUGAGGACCCCUGAUGUAAUGUAUUAAUGCCAUUGAGUUUUGUAAAGGCAAUGUACUUUGAUGAGCCAAUUAGGAAGCUUGCAUCAAACUGGUUCCCUCAUUUAUGAAAUAACUAAUUGAAAUAACUAAUUGAAAAGGGUAGGAUAUUUUAAGACUUUGCUAUACUAUAGCCUAAAGCAGCGAUUCUCACUGGUGGACCGCGAAGGUACGGCAGGUGGGCCGCGAGAGGUCAUUUACAGUAAAUAAAUAAAAUGUUUUUAAAUUUUAAAUUUUGAAAAGUUUGAAAUUAAUAUAAAAAUAUUUAUGAUGUAAAUUACGUGUUAUUCCGGCCUUGAUUCUUGCCUUGCCCUUUUGGAUCCGUUUGCUGUGUAUAUAGUUGUACAUUAAACCUAUUUUUAACACUCGUAUAUAUUGUGCAGGGAAGUAGGGAGGUCGACGACAUUUUCUUUCUUUUUGUCAUCUGUUUUUGUUAGAUAAGGAGUUAGGGAAGAACGGUGUAUAUUGAUUUUAUUUUUUGUUUGCUUAGGUUAGUGAGUUUCCUUUUAAAGGUAAGAGGUGUUUUGUUUUUUAUUUCGGCCUUGUUGGCUCCUAAAGCUGUUUUCCCAGCCCCAAAUAAAUACAAAAAAAACAAACACAAAGUUUGAUAGUGUUCUCGCUCUUUCCUGUUGCGUCUAAGACCUGGUCGUAACAUUAGGGUUGCAAAUUUCUGUAUUUUACUUAAAACGAUUGAUAAUUGAUAAGAUACAAAACGCACAUUUUUUUCUCAGUUUUAUGAGAAGUAUUAUUUGAACAAUUCUAGCGGCACAUUAGUCACGUGAAACAUUAAUUGUCGAAGCACAAACAAUGUAAACAAACAGAUUAAUAAAACAAUAAGGCUCUCGCUCGAAACGGCUGCUCUUGUCCGCCUGUCGUUAUUCAACAAAAGGCGCCGCCAAACAAAACAAUGUCAAAUGGGGCGCCCUCUUGUAGUAUUAAAGUAAAUAUAUAUGAGCUCCAGAGAAAAUGGUAUACAAAACAUACAUUGUCGGUUUACAUAUACAUUUAUACAUUUUUAAUCGGUUAAAUUCUUAAGGUCAUCCAAUCAUCCCUAGUUUAUGUUUUGAUCAGAGUUGUGAUUAAAGGUUUGGGUGGGCCACAAAAGAUUUUCAGAUUUCAAAUUGGGCCGCGGGCCCAAGGCGCAAUCAAUUCCAGAUUUUGCCGGUUUCAAUACAGGUUGGAUGUAGUGCUGCGAAGCCAUCAGCACAAUCAAUAUAGCAAAAUAUGACCCUGCCCUUUCAGCCUGUUUGAAUAAAAACUGACCUGUGUUUGCCCAUACAUAAGGACCAAAACUGGUCAGUCUGGAAGUCGAACCACAUUUAACAUGCAUGUCUAACCAGUAACAGUGGCAGAACGCCGGCUUGGUAUCUAUGUCCUCAAGAGGAGCUGGUUGUGUGCUGCCACUUGGUCUUGGUUUGCACCUACAGGUGGAUGGAUGAAUGGAGUUGUUGAUAUUGGUAUCUUUGCUCUGAUAUAUCAAUCCAGCUAGUAAGAUUAAUUCACUGUGUUACAUAAAUGUAUUUUGGUGAGUUCAUUGACUGUUGAGUUACGUUGAAAAGUCUGUAUUGUACAGAGGUGCUUUGGGCAAAGGGGAUGACAAUUGUGCAACUAGACUGUUUGGAAUGUUAGUUACACUGGUAUUUGGUCAAAAUGGAAAAUGUUUAACAUUCCAUUGGUCUGGGACUUUAAAUGUACAACAUGUCCUCAAUUUACUGUUGAGUUUUACCAGUCUUUUCUAAAGUGGUAGACUAACAAAGCAACCAGCCAGCAUACCUCAUACUGUCAUGGUGUGGGUUUAUUUCUUGUCUUAUUUUGUAGUUUUAUGAUUCUUGUCUCCCCGGGUUACUUCACUUCCUAACUUGUCCUGUCAUCGUCUGUGAUUGUCUGAUUGUUUCCACUUGUGUCCAAUCACCUGCACCUCCCUAGUGUAUUUAAGAAGUGUGUCUCUUGUGUCACUUGUCGCGUCAUUGUCAAAAGUCUUUUUUCUUUAAACUCUGCAUUUGAGUCCUGCCUCCCACGCAUCCCCUGACACAUACAUGGCUAGAAAUUAUAUUCUAUAAUAUAUUUGUAGUUUUUAGCAUUGUGUGGUUUUGCUCAGCAAUGAAAUAUGCUUAUUGCAUGUCUACAUAUUUAGAGGUUUUGAAAGGCAGUCACCCAAUAAAUACUGUUUAGACUUAAUAAACCAUUCCAAUCAUUUGGGGAAACAGUUCGGUUCACGGCCCAUUUUAUGUCCCAAACUCAACUAUAAUGGGCUUAGCGCAUUAGAAUACAUUGAGAGCAGUUAUUUCAAGAUCACUCAUUGCUUAAACAUAUCGUGCUCAUAGAUUUGGCAUCCUGCUCUGAACCACAACAAAUUUACAUUUCAGGCGAUUAAUUGACACUUUUAUAUCGAACCACUGAAGGCCACAGAGAAUAAACUUCAAAUCCAAGAUCCCACUUAAGAAAUUCAUGUCGCGGAAUCCAUGAAACAGCGUGCCCUCAGAUUGAGCAAAAAAUCAAUGGUCACACAGAAGAUUAAGAAAAGUUGAGGCAGCAAGAAUUGUGAUGUUCUGAUCAUCACACAUUCAUUCAAAUGUUAACAUAACACUGACUUCAUCACUCAUUCUCAGUCCGAUAGUAUGUAGCUACUGAGUCCAUGCAACUCCUUCAGUCAGCUGACAGUUGAUACAAUCAGAAAGUGGCAGCAUCCUAAAAAAAGUAAAGAUUGCUUUUGUCUUCAAUUCCUACUGAUGUUAUUAAGACUAUUAAAAAUCCAUUCUGCAUCGCUUUUUACAUUUCUUUAAUAAUUAGCGAAUACACCGCUUGUUGACUCAUGUUUGCUGUUGACGAAUCUGCUGGUGUAGUGUUUAGCUGUCAAUUUUAGCGAUCAAUGCGUGCGCAGUAGGGAGCUAGAUUUCUGUCAGCUUCUUAAGCUUGGGCCCAGGGCAAGGCGAGGCUCAUUGAGACAUACAAGCCCUGCGCAGAAAUGUGUACCUGUGCGUGGGUUAAGAUGCCUAGCAUUAAGUUCUGCUCUGUGGAGCACCGCUGGGGAUUCACACAAUUGUCUUGGUCUCUUCUCCGGUGGCCUCUCAGUUUUUUUCCUUUGACAAGCAUCCCUUUCCAUUCUCUGUCCUUUUCCCUGUUAUUCUUAAUUACAUGCAGCACGUCAGGUGCAGCGUACAAACUCAGUUUCAGCUGUGUCAGCAUAUUUCAAGAUUAACAUGAUCUUCUAUAAACCAUAGAUUUUCCAAUGAAUCUAAACUGCAGUUUCUUGUCCCUUACUAACUAACUGUUUAUGUUAACAUUUUCAGUCUUCAGACUUUCUGGAGGCUACAAAAGCCCAGUUUUGCCUUAUUUAAGGAUUGCAAGAACUGAUUGGAAUCAUAAAGCUAAUACUGCUAAAUCUGCAAAGACUAUAGCGCAAAAAGUACUGUUGUGAGCGGAUAAAUGGCACACUUAGUUGAAUAAGUAGGGGAACAUCAAAGUGGUUGGAGUGGAGGUGACUCAAAAGCUACCACUUUAUCAAUGGAGUGGAAAGGCAGGUACUUUUUAAGUGAAAGUCUGGAUAAAGCCCAGUUUGGGUACAUCAUUCAGUACAUCUUUGCCAAAUAGGCCUUGGUGUGAGGCUUCGACGAGAGGAGAAUGAUAGACAGGCACUCAAAUGCUGACGUUACCAAUUUGUGUAUACUGUACGCUUAGAUAACUAAUUGGUUGCGAAGGGUUGUUGAUGUAAUGCAUUCGAUGUGAUUAUUGACCAUUUUAUAGACGUUUUUUGGUAAUGCAAUUACUACAAUUAUCCCAAAUAAAGCCAAAUCACAUGGCCUUCUGUCUCAAUGCGGGGCAGAGGUAAUGUGCAACAUGUUUUUCGUUUGCUCAGUACGUGUGAGAGUGUUUUUGUGCGAGUGUGCAAAUGAAUUCUUUGUAAGAGAGGUUGAUAAGUUACUUUGACUGAGCAGAUAUUUAGUUUACUCAGAUCUCUCACUCUCCUUUUAAACACCUUUUAAAAUUACCGAUACUCCACCUAUUAGUGGAGUGGUUGAGAGCUUUGUUUGGAACAAUCUUUCUGCCUCUACUUUCCUCAAUGCUUUAUUUAAGUCCUUGACAGCUAUCAAAUUAAUCAAAUUGCACGUGCGCCAAUAAGCCUACUAAUUGGAUGAUCUGAGAAGAUGUUCUCAAGGGUCCCUCGAUGGCAAAAAUACUAGGAUAUUUGGAGAGCUAAACAACUUAUACAACUAGUGUAAUUAUUGCACUAAUUAUGCACAAUAACAAAUGUAAUAAGGCUUAUUUGGAUAAAACGCGACACAACUCGUCUUGUCCAUGAGCCAAUGCUUUUAGCUUCAGAUUUUAUCUUAAACGGCCAUAUUACAUGUUUCUUGUUCUACACUCCUUUUUUUUUAAUUAUUGCCUUUUACUCUGCACUUUACAGGUAUGUCUGGCGUUGUGUUGGAUAGGCUGUGCUUUCUAUGGCAACUUCAUAUCUUUCAUAAACUUAUACUUCAUCUCUAGGAUUAAAAGCGGGCCGAUCACUUCUAAAGGGUAGCUGUUUUAGUGCUCGACAUCAGCGAUUGAUGACAAAUGAUGUCCAUUGCCUUGCAACUGCUUGGUAUUACAUUUAUUUACCAUCUGAAUAGAUCUUCUAAUGUCUCUCAAUAUAGCUUCACAACUCCAGUCCUCUGCCAGUUUCCUGGAUGUAUUGCUAAACGCAGCAUGUCUCAGCUUCCAGCACAGCUUCAGCUUUGAAAGGAGUACAGCAAAGUGGUCCCACUCUGUUCUCAAAAUGUCAGUUUCCUCUUCAUCAUUACAGUGAUUACUGUCUCUUAGGGUUGUUUUUUCCUUUUUUAAUCGUCGACUUGGCCUCCCUUUCGACCUGUAGAUUUCACUGAGUGGUGGGGAGGUAAAAGACCCUGUCGGUAGUCGUGAUGUCUUCCGUUUGACCUUUACAGACACUUCACGCGAGUGCUCUGAUGUAAUUUUUGAUAUCCGGAUCCCAGGGUGUAACAGUUGGUUGCCGGCGGACUGGCGUCUCUUUGAUUGGAACGCUGUGUCCUGCUUAGAGGACUUGACUCAGACUUCCUGCAGCUGUUUUGCCAGGGGCUAAGGUGCUCUCUGGGGACGCCAGCAAUUAUUAAGUCAGUGAGACAAGCUGGUUGACCAUAAAACGCUUCCAUCCGAUCUCUAAUCUGCCUUACCAGAGCCUGCAUCAUUUUUGUAUUAACAGGGGUCUAAAUAGGCCUCUCGUAAUCAAGUUCUUAGAUUACACAUCAGACUAUUGAAAAUUACACAGAUAUUACAGUCAUUUUACAAAGACAUGUGAUUGAGCCAAAAAUAAAUAAAUU